rnacentral:rRNA from 1 species
UAGUGGGCAAUCGUGGUUCAUCCCAUACCGCGUGUGUGAAGAAGGCCUUUUGGUUGUAAAGCACUUUAAGCGAGGAGGAGACUACUUUAGUUAAUACCUAGGGUGAUUGGACGUUACUCGCAGAAUAAGCACCGGCUAACUACUGUGCCAGCAGCCGCGGUAAUACAGAGGGUGCGAGCGUUAAUUGGAUUUACUGGGCGUAAAGCGGGGGUAGGCGGCUGUUUAAGUCGGAUGUGAAAUCCCCGAGCUUAACUUGGGAAUUGCAUUCGAUACUGGUGAGCUAGAGUAUGGGAGAGGAUGGUAGAAUUCCAGGUGUAGCGGUGAAAUGCGUAGAAAUCUGGAGGAAUACCGAUGGCGAAGGCAGCCAUCUGGCCUAAUACUGACGCUGAGGUACGAAAGCAUGGGGAGCAAACAGGAUUAGAUACCCUGGUAGUCCAUGCCGUAAACGAUGUCUACUAGCCGUUGGGGCCUUUGAGGCCUUAGUGGCGCAGCUAACGCGAUAAGUAG